rnacentral:lncRNA from 1 species
NNNNNNNNNNNNNNNNNNNNNNNNNNNNNNNNNNNNNNNNCCCCCCCCCCCAACCUUGCCCUGUCUCCCCCAGGGAGGACGCCUGGCAGCCCCGUGCCCCCCCCUCGCUGCCCCCCGUGAGGGUGACGACCUUCUCGGGGACCAUCCGCCUCUACAGCAGCUCCGUGGGGGGGUCCCCCCAAGAGACGGCCCCCCCCGACAAACCCCUGCUGCUGCUGCUGCCCUGGUUGGGGGCGCGGGGGGGGGCCCUGGCGCGUUACCUGGCCCUCUACCUGCCCCACGGCGUGGACGUGCUGGUGGUGGGGACAAGGACCUGUCACGUCCUGUGGCCACGGAGGGGCCGGCGGCUGGCGGGGAGGCUGCUGGGGCUGCUGGACCACGGCGGGGGGGGGGAUGAAGAUGGUGAUGAUGGUGGUGAGGAUGAUGGUGGUGGCACCGGUGGAGGCGUUGGAGAUGGUGGUGGUGGCACUGGUGAGGAUGGUGGUGGUCGUGGUCGUGGUGGUGGCACCGGUGGUGAUGGUCAUGGUCGUGAUGGUGGUGAGGAUGGUGGUGGUCGUGGUCGUGGUGGUGGCACCGGUGGUGAUGGUCAUGGUCGUGGUGGUGGUCAUGGUUGUGGUGGUGGUGGUGGAGGUAUAGACCGUGGUGAUGAGGAUGGUGGCACGGGUGGUGGUGGUCAUGGUCAUGAUGGUGGUGGCGUUGAAGAUUACGGUGGUGGUGAUGAUGGUGGUGGUCGUGGUCAUGGUGAUGAUGGUGGUGAUGGCGAUGGCGUUGAAGAUUAUGGUGGUGGUGAUGAUGGUGGUGGUCAUGGUCAUGGUGAUGAUGGUGGUGAUGGCGAUGGCGUUGAAGAUUAUGGUGGUGGUGAUGAUGGUGGUGGUCGUGGUCAUGGUGAUGAUGGUGGUCAUGGUGGCACUGGUGGCAAUGGUGGUGGUGGUGACGGUCAUGGUCGUGAUGACGGUGGUGAUGGUGACAGUGGCCCUGGUGGGGAUGGUGGCUAUGGUGGAGGCAACGGUGGUGUCUCUGGUGGGGACGGUGGCAUCAGUGGUGCUGGUGGUGGCUCCGGUGGUGUCUCCGGUGGUGUCUCUGGUGGUACUGGUGGCAUUGGUGGCUCUGGUGGUGUCUCUGGCGGUGCUGGUGGCAUUGGUGGUAUCUCUGGUGGUGCUGGUGGCUCUGGUGGUGUCUCCGGUGAUGUCUCUGGUGGUGCUGGUGGCAUCGGUGGUGCUGGUGAUGGCUCC